ensembl:scaRNA
GCCCGGCGGUGGGAGUGUGGCCUGGGGCGGCGGUGUGCGUGCAGCGAGUGCGGUGUGGGAGGCGCGCGUGGGCCGAGUGUGAGAGCGCGGGUGUGCGUGCGUGUGCGCGCGCGUGGGGUGCAAGGCGAGCGUGUGCGUCCGCCCCCGCGCCCCUCCCCCGCCCGCCUACACUUUGAUCUUAUUUGAUCGGGUCGUGACCCCAGCCCCGCCGGGCCGCCCCGACAUGAAAAGCAGCCCUCCUGCGAAGCCCCACGGGGCGCUGUGCAGCGAGGCCCCCCCGGCGGCGGCUGCGCCGCGGACCCCGCGAGCCCGGAGCUGGUCCAGCGGGCCCGGCGCUCAGAAGUGAUGAACUGAUCAGAUAGACGAGGCCGGGGCGCGUCCCCGGCCCCUGAUUAUCUCGGCGAUUCUGAUCUGA